rnacentral:rRNA from 1 species
AGAGCGAACGCUGGCGGCAGGCUUAACACAUGCAAGUCGAGCGCUCGUAGCAAUACGAGAGCGGCAGACGGGAGAGUAACACGUGGGAACGUACCCUUCGGUUCGGAACAACCCAGGGAAACUUGGGCUAAUACCGGAUACGUCCGUAAGGAGAAAGAUUUAUCGCCGAAGGAUCGGCCCGCGUCUGAUUAGCUAGUUGGUGAGGUAACGGCUCACCAAGGCGACGAUCAGUAGCUGGUCUGAGAGGAUGAUCAGCCUCACUGGGACUGAGACACGGCCCAGACUCCUACGGGAGGCAGCAGUGGGGAAUAUUGGACAAUGGGCGCAAGUCUGAUCCAGCCAUGCCGCGUGGGUGAUGAAGGCCCUAGGGUUGUAAAGCCCUUUCGGCGGGGAAGAUAAUGACGGUACCCGCAGAAGAAGCCCCGGCUAACUUCGUGCCAGCAGCCGC